AUGAACGUGGAAUUAACAAAACCAUACACCGCCGAUGAGGUGAGAUUGGCGUUGUUUCAAAUGGCACCGUAAAAAGCUCCUGGGGUGGACGGCUUUACUGCUGGAUUCUACCAACGACACUGGGAUUUGUUGGAUGAGGCAGUGACCCAGGCAAUCUUGGACUUCUUAAAUGGAGGUGAAUUACCCUCUGGUUUGAAUGAUACAUCCAUUACUCUUAUACCCAAGGUCAGACACCCCCAAAUGAUCUCUCACUAUUGCCCCAUUGUGCCAUGUCUGGUUUUGUAUAAGAUAGCAGCCAAGGCUAUCACCAAUCGCAUGAGGGGCAUCAUGGAUGGCGUUAUUAGUGAGAAGCAAAGUUUUGUGCCUGGCCGACUCAUUUCAGACAACGUCUUAGUUGCAUAUGAAAGUGUGCAUACAAUGAAGAGAAGGAAAAAAGGCAAGAAUUUUUCUUGUGCGGUCAAGCUCGAUAUGAUGAAGGCUUACGACCGUGUCGAGUGGCACUACCUUGAAGCAAUAUUGACCAGGUUAGGUUUCAAUAUUUCAUUUAUCAGGCUGAUUAUGAAAUGUGUAUCUUCUGUCCGGUUCUUCGUCCGGGUUAAUGGCGACCUACUUCCAUAUUUUACGCCUUCUAGGGGGUUCCGUCAAGGAGACCCGGUUUCGCCGUACUUAUUUCUUCUCUAUGCAGAAGGAUUUUCCUCAUUGCUUAAAUAUUACUAUGGUGGAUUGGUUGAUAGGGGCUUGAUGGUGAGCUACAGAUCACCUUGGGUGACCCAUCUAUUAUUUGCUGACAAUAGCUUGAUUUUCAUUAAUGCAAGCAACCCAAGUGCACUUCGUCUGAAUGACAUUUUGUCAAUUUAUGGUGAUGCCUCAGGUCAGUGUGUAAACCGUGAAAAAAGUUCUAUCUAUUUCAGUACUAACACACCUGAUUCUUUGAGGCAACUUCUGAAGGCAACAUUGAACAUCCAAGUUGAAGCUUUCAGUGCAAAAUAUCUUGGACUCCCAACUGAUGUGGGUUGCAUCACAAGUGGCACGUUUGAACACAUCAGUGAAAGAGCCCGUGGAAAAAUUCAAGGAUGGUCAGAAAAAUUACUAGCUUGUGCUGGCUGUGAGCUUGCUGAAUCGGUGUUUUAGGCUAUCCCCACCUAUCCAAUGAGUACAUUCCUGUUGACAAAGAAAGUUUGCAAGAGUUUAACUUCUCCUAUGGCGAAAUAUUUUUGGAGCAGUUCUCUAGAUAAAAACUCUAUGCAUUGGGUGUCUUGGAAAGAGCUGGCGACACCUAAGUGCAAUGGAGGGAUGGGGUUCUGA
rnacentral:rRNA from 1 species